GGAGCCUGUGCAGGUUGGAAUCUGCUGAUGCAUGAUGUCGCUACGCUACGCUACGCUACUUAACGCUAAAAUAAAGCCAUGGGGCCAAAGAAAGUUGCAAGUGCCAGCACUUCAAUGAAGAAAGUGAGACCGUACGUGUGGCUCGGCCCUCCCCUCAUCGCCGUCUUCGCCAACAGGAAGCUUCAAAAAGGCUAAAUCCAGUGGAGGUGGAUUCACAUGGAACAUGGACGCCCUUUUUUCUCAUUCUCCAUUCCGCAGAACGACCCACGUUUGG